GACGAACGCUGGCGGCGUGCUUAACACAUGCAAGUCGAGCGGUAAGGCCCUUUCGGGGGUACACGAGCGGCGAACGGGUGAGUAACACGUGGGUGACCUGCCCUCAGCUCUGGGAUAAGCCCGGGAAACUGGGUCUAAUACCGGAGUAUGACUUCGAAUGACGCAUGUUGUGGAGUGGAAAGCCUUGUGCGGCUGAGGGAAU
rnacentral:rRNA from 1 species